rnacentral:rRNA from 1 species
AGUGAACGCUGGCGGUAGGCCUAAUACAUGCAAGUCGAACGGAAGCACAGUAAGAGCUUGCUCUUACGGGUGGCGAGUGGCGGACGGGUGAGGAAUACAUCGGAAACUACUCUUUCGUGGGGGAAUACGAAGGGAAACUUACGCUAAUUACGCAUACGACCAACGGGUGAAAUGAGGGGAUCUUCGAACCUUGCGCGAGCGAUUGAGACGAUGUCGGAUUAGCUAGUUGGCGGGGUAAAGGCCCACCAAGGCGACGAUACGUAGCUGGUCUGAGAGGAUGAUCAGCCACACUGGAACUGAGGCACGGUCCAGACUCCUACGGGAGGCAGCAGUGGGGAAUAUUGGACAAUGGGCGCAAGCCUGAUCCAGCCAUACCGCGUGAGUGAAGAAGGCCUUCGGGUUGUAAAGCCCUGUUGUUGGGAAAGAAAAGCGGCAGGUUAAUACCCCGCUGGUCUGACGGUACCCAAAGAAUAAGCACCGGCUAACUUCGUG